UACGGUGAAUACGUUCCCGGACCUUGCACACACCGCCCGUCAAGCCAUGGAAGCCGGGUGUACCUAAAGUCGGUAACCGUAAGGAGCCGCCUAGGGUAAAACUGGUGACUGGGGCUAAGUCGUAACAAGGUACCC
rnacentral:rRNA from 1 species